rnacentral:rRNA from 1 species
CCUACGGGUGGCAGCAGUGGGGAAUUUUGCGCAAUGCUCGUAAGAGUGACGCAGCAACGCCGCGUGAAUGAUGAAGGUCUUCGGAUUGUAAAGUUCUUUUCUAAGGGAAGAAGAACGUGACGGUACCUUAGGAAUAAGCCUCGGCUAACUACGUGCCAGCAGCCGCGGUAAUACGUAGGAGGCGAGCGUUAUCCGGAAUGACUGGGCGUAAAGGGUGCGUAGGUGGUUUGGCAAGUUAGUAGCGUAACUCCAAGGCUCAACCUUGGAACUACUACUAAAACUGUUGGACUUGAGUGCAGGAGGGGCAACCGGAAUUCCUAGUGUAGCGGUGGAAUGCGUAGAUAUUAGGAGGAACACCAGUGGCGAAGGCGGGUUGCUAGACUGUAACUGACACUGAGGCACGAAAGCGUGGGGAGCAAACAGGAUUAGAUACCCGUGUAGUC